ACUCCUACGGGAGGCAGCAGUGGGGAAUCUUGGACAAUGGGGCAACCCUGAUCCAGCCAUGCCGCGUGAGUGAUGAAGGCCUUAGGGUCGUAAAGCUCUUUCGCCUGUGAAGAUAAUGACGGUAGCAGGUAAAGAAACCCCGCGUACAUCCGUGCCAGCAGCCGCGGUAAUACGGAGGGGGUUAGCGUUGUUCGGAAUUACUGGGCGUAAAGCGCACGUAGGCGGAUCGGAAAGUUGGGGGUGAAAUCCCGGGGC
rnacentral:rRNA from 1 species